rnacentral:rRNA from 1 species
CUUUAACGGAGAGUUUGAUCCUGGCUCAGGAUGAACGCUGGCGGCAUGCCUAA